GAUGAACGCUGGCGGCGUGCCUAAUACAUGCAAGUCGAGCGAACGGACGAGAAGCUUGCUUCUCUGAUGUUACCGGCGGACGGGUGAGUAACACGUGGAUAACCUACCUAUAAGACUGGGAUAACUUCGGGAAACCGGAGCUAAUACCGGAUAAUAUUUUGAACCGCAUUGUUCAAAAGUGAAAGACGGUCUUUCUGUCACUUAUAGCUGGUUCCGCGCUGCAUUAGCUAGUUGGUAAGGUAACGGCUUACCAAGGCAACGAUGCAUAGCCGACCUGAGAGGGGGAUCGGCCACACUAGAAGUGAAACACGGACAAGACUCCUGCGGGAGGGAGCAGUAGGGAAUGUUCGGCAAUGGGCGAAAGCAUGACGGAGCAACGGGGCGUGAGUGAUGGAGGUCUUCGGAUCGUAAAACUCUGUUAUUAGUGAAAAACAUAUGUGUAAGUAGCUGUGCACAUCUUGACGGUACCUAAUCAGAAAGCCACGGCUAACUACGUG
rnacentral:rRNA from 1 species